rnacentral:tRNA from 1 species
GAAGGUAUAGCUCAGUGGUAGAGCACAUGCUUAGCACGCAUGAAGUCCUGGGUUCAGUCCUUAGUACCUCCA